GGGCGGUUAGCUCAGCGGUAGAGCAUUCCGUUUACACCGGACAGGUCGGGAGUUCGAAUCUCUCACCGCCCA
rnacentral:tRNA from 1 species